rnacentral:rRNA from 1 species
AGGAUGAACGCUGGCGGCGUGCCUAACACAUGCAAGUCGAACGUCCUGUCUCGCAAGAGGCAGGGAGUGGCGGACGGGUGAGUACCACGUGGGUCAUCUACCGUGAGGUGAGGAAUACCGGCGAGAAAUCGCCGACAAGACCGCAUAGGCUCGAUGCAAGUCGAGCAAAGCUCUUUCGAGAGAGGGAGCGCCACACGAGGAGCCUGCGCCCGAUUAGCUAGCUGGUGGAGUAACGGUUCACCAGGGCGACGAUCGGUAGCUGGUCUGAGAGGACGAUCAGCCACACUGGGAUUGAGAACGGCCCAGACUCCUACGGGGGGCAGCAGUGAGGAAUUUCGUCAAUGGGGGCAACCCUGAACGAGCAAUGCCGCGUGCAGGAAGAAGGUUUUCGGAUCGUAAACUGCUUUUCUCGGGGAAGAGAACGGACGGUACCCGAGGAAUCAGCCCCGGCUAACUACGUGCCAGCAGCCGCGGU